CAGUACAUAAACUUAAAUAUUGAAAUUUUAAUUUAUUAAAACCCAUUAUUAAUGUCAUUGUAUUUUCCUUUAUCACAAAUUUUAAGCAUGAAAAGAUUAACAAUCCUUAUUUUCUGCAUUGUAAAUGGUGUUUUAUGUAGAGAUUUUUAUGUGGGCAUGUUUAAGAAGAAUGACAUAUUGGUCGCUCAAGACAGAUUGUAUAAGGAAAGUGUGCCGUUUACUUCGACUUACGCAAAAUACGGAAGAAUCUUUAAAUGCCCUAUAACCUACUUUCGUGUGGUUGAUCGUCUUGGAAUAGGAAGUGGGCCUCGAGUAGAAAUUGUUCGCGGUGGUUUACAAAAAAAAUAUGUUGUACUAAGACUUACAUCAGUGUAUAACAAUCCCAUUUCUGUUAAUAUAUAUGUCGGAUGUGCUAACAAACUAAAAGUCAAAGCUAAAACCACAAAAUCAACGGUUACUACUGAAUCGAGCAAAGGAGCUAAGACAGACGAUAACAAAACUGAAAAGGAAGUUGGAACUACUUCUGGUUUUCAAACAGAAACAACAGCAGCGGGAGGAGGUGCUACAACAGAUGCUAAAACUGAUCAGACUAAUGCUGAUUCUAAGGGUACAGAAGUAACUACUGCUGCUGCAGUUUCAACCACUGUUUAAUUUGAAGAUUUAAGUGUCAUGUAUUAAGACAUUUCCAUUUAAUUUUUAUUA